rnacentral:lncRNA from 13 species
UCCGUGCAACUGGUGAUUGAAAACGUGCACCUGGUCACCCAAAACACGGUUCUCUAUGCGGUUAGCGGUGUUCCAUAUAUUCAUGUCCGAUAAUGAUGCACCCUACUACGGACCUUUAGCAAUGGGGGCCGGUCCGAAUUAUUUAUGGAAGGUCUGAUGAUGAUUUUUUUUUUUUCCCACCAUCUCUUUCUCUCUCUGCCGGGGCCGGCCCUGAGUGCUUUAUGGACGGUUUAAAACAUGACUAUGGAUGCAAAUGCUCAUUUUCCUCCGUGCACCUGGUGAUUGAAAACGUGCAACUGGUGAUUGAAAACGUGCACCUGGUCACCCAAAACACGGUUCUCUAUGCGGUUAGCGGUGUUCCAUAUAUUCAUGUCCGAUAAUGAUGCACCCUACUACGGACCUUUAGCAAUGGGGGCCGGUCCGAAUUAUUUAUGGAAGGUCUGAUGAUGAUUUUUUUUUUUUUCCACCAUCUCUUUCUCUCUCUGCCGGGGCCGGCCCUGAGUGCUUUAUGGACGGUUUAAAACAUGACUAUGGAUGCAAAUGCUCAUUUUCCUCCGUGCACCUGGUGAUUGAAAACGUGCAUCUGGUAACCCAAAAAUUAUAAAAGGGUUUUAAAUACUUUUACCCGUCAUUCUAUUGAUAUAGCCCGCUAGGGGAGUACCCUACUACGGCCCUCUCUCUGUCAGGCCCGUCCUUGAGUGCUUUUUAGACAGUUUAAGAAAUCACGAUGGAUGCAGAUUGCUAUUAAUCCUCCGUGCAACUGGUGAUUGAAAACGUGCAACUGGUGAUUGAAAAACGUGCAUCUGGUAACCCAAAAUUUCAAAUAUGGUUCAAAAUGAAUUUAAAGGCACCCCUCUCAUUGUUCCCCGCUAUGGGAGCACCCCACUAAGGCCCUGUCUCGGUCGGGGCCGUCCUGAGUGCUUUAUAGACACUUUAAGAAAUCACGAUGGAUGCUGAUUGCUAUUAAUCCUCCGUGCAACUGGUGAUUGAAAACGUGCACCUGGUCACCCAAAACACGGUUCUCUAUGCGGUUAGCGGUGUUCCAUAUAUUCAUGUCCGAUAAUGAUGCACCCUACUACGGACCUUUAGCAAUGGGGGCCGGUCCGAAUUAUUUAUGGAAGGUCUGAUGAUGAUUUUUUUUUUUUCCCACCAUCUCUUUCUCUCUCUGCCGGGGCCGGCCCUGAGUGCUUUAUGGACGGUUUAAAACAUGACUAUGGAUGCAAAUGCUCAUUUUCCUCCGUGCACCUGGUGAUUGAAAACGUGCAUCUGGUAACCCAAAAAUUAUAAAAGGGUUUUAAAUACUUUUACCCGUCAUUCUAUUGAUAUAGCCCGCUAGGGGAGUACCCUACUACGGCCCUCUCUCUGUCAGGCCCGUCCUUGAGUGC